rnacentral:lncRNA from 1 species
GUGGCCAUAGGAGCACGAGAAGAAGGUGUCCCUCAGGAGGAAAAUAUGUGGGCCGUUCCUGUCAGGAGGCAGCAGGAUGUUGCUGAGGUGAGCUUGCCUGUCUUUCCCUGAGGAACACAAGUCAUUUCUUAGCGUCUUUCCAAUCAACGUCUGUUGUAAAUCAGACAAUGUACUUUUUAGAUGAUAUUGUUACUUUCCGGGGUGGGGAGUGUGGAGUAUGGGUGCCUCUUGUCAAAUGUAACCUUGGCAGGGGGACAUUCCCCACUGGCAGUGCUAAACCUGGUCAUACACAGUGUCAAAGGAUCUUUUUCGUCAGCAGCAAUUUUUCCUGCUUGGGUGAGGAAAUGUGUAGUCGGCACCCUAAAUGGACUUGAGAGACACAUCCCCAGGAAAAACAACUUCAGACAGGCAUCCUAUUCAUUUGUUUUUGGGGACCUUUGACUCAAGCACUGUGUGCAUCUGGUUUCCUAAAGUCCAGAAGAGAACCAAAGACCAGUGCAACGCGUGUUCAUCAUGGUCUGACCCUGAUGGUGUUUCUUUUCUCUACAUUCAGGUUGCCGCGGGAGAAACAGAAUAUGGUGUCCCUGAGGAGGAAAAGAUGUGGGCCGUUCCUGUCAGGAGGCAGCAGGAUGUUGCUGAGGUGGCCGCGGGAGCAACGAAAUACGGUGUCCCUGUGGAGGAAAAGAUGUGGGCUUUUCCUGUAAGGACACACCAGGCUGUUGGUGAGUUUCCUGUGGUCUCUGGAACCAUGGAGAAUGGUAGGUAUUCAGGAAUCAAUCAUUUGCUGUCUUUAGUCAGGGGAGUGCUUCUGAUUUUGGGUUUCCACUGAAAGGAGGAUCACAGACGUAGUGACAAAGCGAUUUGUCGAAGGGUAAACCAUGUUUAUGUGUGUACAGGCACUCAUGUGGCAUUCAGGUAGUGAGUUUCUGUGCGUGGAGACUGGGUGAGUCUCUUUGUGAACUGACAAGUGUGUGAAGUGAGCAUGUAUGUGCUUGUAUGUGGUCUCUGUGUGAGAAGUUUAUGUUCCUCUAGAUUAACAUGUCCCUAAAGAGCACAGUUGCUGGUGUGAACUUUGCCAUUCAUAAGAAAAAUCCCAUCACCGAGCUUCAUGAUGUGUGUCUGUAUGUCAAAGGAUAUAAAUACGGACAAUUUAAAUAUAGUUAGUAUAUUAUACACCAGAUAUAGCUUGUUUAGGCUGAAAAAAGUCCUAUUAAUAGCCAGGAAAACAUUCACAGGAUUCUGAACGGGAAAUAUGUUUUCAGAAUCCAUGGGAGUCUGUGAAUCAUGACUUCAGUUCAAGGUAGACCUCAACUCCGAGGAGGCUGUUUCAUUGCCUUCAGGGCACUUGGAUCGAUCCUGAUUAAGGAGAAGGAGCCCUAAUGGUAUCUAAUUGGCCUCUGAGGAAAGGAAGCUUAUGGAAGUGAUGAAUGAUGGAGGGGUUGGCAUGGGCUGUGGGGAUGGGGGCUGGACGGGGAGACGAGGCCCUUUAACCCCCAAUUCCUAGUACUUUCUCUCACGCCUCUACUUUCUGAGGCAGACCCUGAAUUUCUAGGCUGAGGUUGUCAUCAGUAAUAAUUUCAGUCCUUGCUCCUGAUCCUCCUUGUGUGGGGCACCCGCCAGUGCCGAGACUAGAGUGAUCCCAGAGUCCUUGCUCCAUCAUACUUCAGCAGUAAAGGGAUAACUGCCCCAGGGUUACUGCCUUCCUGCCCCUCCUAUCCUUUCUAAAAAGGAGAUUCAAGGAGCCUGGGAAGGAAUCCUCCCCUCUUAGCUGGAGGGCUGGGGCAGGUGGCCCCUGGUGCAGGCAUAUGCCACACCCAGUUCUGGAGGGCAUCUGAGAAGAGGAUCCUCCAGCUUCUAGAAAUCCUUUCUUUCAAGAUCUUAGUGUCUCAUGGGUGUGGAAGAUAAUGCCUGCUGUGUGUGGUCAAAUGCAGGAAUGAAACAGCAGCCAGGCUCUAAGGGUCCUUGCUCCUUCAAAUACUUCAGCUUGAAAGGGUGAGAGCACGGUCCAGGGUCUUGGACUAGAUGUUAAGCGGGAAAUAUUGAGGGGUUGCAGAGGGAAGACACGAAGGACAUCCAGGCUAUGUGAGGGUGGGAGGGGACACCACGGUGGCAGGAUUAUUUGAAUCAGUGUAGCAUCAGCACCUGGGCCCAGCCUUGUCCUCACCGAGGAUGACAUUUGGGCUCCUUCUGGGUGGGAUGAGGCAGGACGAGCCGCCAUGCCAGGUGAGGGUAUCGUAUGGACAUCUUCCUAAAAGCCUGGGGAGAGGGGCGUCCUUCCUGUGCCAGCCUCUUCUCCAUCUACCAGACACUUUCAUUGGUGGACACUGGGGAGGAGCAGACAAUGGAGUCAGGUCUCCUGUUCUCCCACCUGGGACACGCCAGCAGGGAUGGAACCAGGGUCAGGCCAGACACAAGUACGUUUCCAGGCCUGAUCCACCUGGCCAGGAGGGACCAGUUUUCACUUUUCACCUGCUUCUGGCCGUCACCUGACAGCCAGUCCUUGUCUACACACUAUUGGCCAAGGGUUGUCUGGCUGGAAAACACAUUCAUACAAAAGGGAUCUCAUCCCAUGUGACCAGGGCAGCUGUAGAACAUUCUAGUUGCAGAGGAGGUGAGAGGGGCACAGGCUCCAGUGCACAGGGAGCUCAGCAAAGUGGUGGGGGCUGAUCCCAGAGUGGAGGUGGUCCUUGCUGUGCUCUUUCCUGGCCCGAGGACAUCAGUGUGAGAGUUUGUCUGAAAGGUAUGGGAACUGACAGGUCCAAAUACUGUCUCUGACCUUCCUUCCACUCACGGGCACAGGAGCCAUAGCUCUGGAUGGUCACUGCAAGGGCACCGACAGCCUCUCUGUCAUUGCUCGUCCCCCAGGGGCUCAGCCCUAGGCAGCCCAUGUUUGGCCCCAAUAAACGCCUGCUGUUCACAGCCUUGGGCUGGGAA